rnacentral:rRNA from 1 species
GAUGAACGCUGGCGGCGUGCCUAAUACAUGCAAGUCGAGCGAACGGACGAGAAGCUUGCUUCUCUGAUGUUAGCGGCGGACGGGUGAGUAACACGUGGAUAACCUACCUAUAAGACUGGGAUAACUUCGGGAAACCGGAGCUAAUACCGGAGGAUAUUUUGAACCGCAUGGUUCAAAGGUGAAAGACGUUCUUGCUGUCCCUUAUAGAUGGAUCCGCGCUGCAUUAGCUAGUUGGUAAGGUAACGGCUUACCAAGGCAACGAUGCAUAGCCGACCUGAGAGGGUGAUCGGCCACACUGGAACUGAGACACGGUCCAGACUCCUACGGGAGGCAGCAGUAGGGAAUCUUCCGCAAAGGGCGAAAGCCUGACGGAGCAACGCCGCGUGAGUGAUGAAGGUCUUCGGAUCGUAAAACUCUGUUAUUAGGGAAGAACAUAUGUGUAAGUAACUGUGCACAUCUUGACGGUACCUAAUCAGAAAGCCACGGCUAACUACGUG